GGGGGAGAAUGUGCAUGGGAGGGAGAGGAGGAGAGAGCAUCCCAGGCAGACUCACCCCUAGCAGGGAGGCCACCCCGGGCCCUCCACCCGAGGAUCUCAGUCAUGGAGAUCAUGACCUGGGCCUAAAUCCAGAGCGGGCAGCUCCACCUACUGAGCCACCCAGUCAUCCUGAAAUCUGCUUUUUAAAUAAACAACGCAACCGGUUCUGAAGUCCAAGGUUGAGGUUGAAGAAAGCUUAAGCACCAGCCUCGCCCCUGUUUCUGCGAGAUGCUCUCUCCCUACACAGACCCGGGGCCGGGCAGUGGUGGGUGACGAGCCUGGGGCCAGGAAGUCCCAAUUCGUGGGCAUUCUGGCCAAGGGCUCUCGGAUCUGUGGAUUGGCAUAAUCUUCACAGAGAUCACACGGGGCACAGAUUUUUACCCCAUUUCACAGAUGAGCACGUUCUGUGCUCUCUGGACAACUCUGCAGCUCCUUCUGGUUCUGAAAGUAUGGUUUCAUGACAGGAGGUCAAAGGCCACACCUAAGCCUUAUGUCCAUUAUCACGUGACCUGGGAGGGUUGCUCUAUUCCCACCCAGGGCCUCCAGUUCCCACAUGAGGAUAAUAAAGCUGGCUGCAUCAUCUCUACGGGCUUUUACACAGGCUAUCCAGAAAUAGGUUCAUCACGGGGGCUUAAUUUUGUCGUCACUGGGUUUGAUUAUGACUCGAAUCUUCCUUCACCCAAACUCAGCCUUCAGACUUUAUCGCUCACACCGCAGAAUCAAACAUGCCAUCUCAAUUAAAAAACCAUAAAGAAGAAGAAGGAAGAAAACAGGGUCUCAGAGAAAUUCCACCACAGGCUUUAUCCGGGAGGGGCUGUGCCAGAAAGCCUGAGAACGGGUUAAUGUGGCAGGGCGGGUCCGGGGACAGAUGGUAGAAGUCAAGAAGCCCAGCUCCGGUCUGGACGACUGGCAGCGAGAACGCAGGCCGUGGCAUCGGCGGGCUCCAGUGCAUGUCCAGAUCCUUCCCUACUUCCUCCCUCACAAAUAUUGAUUGAGGCCCUACUAUGGGCAAGGCACCAAGGGAGCCAAGAUGGAUCUUUCCUUCAAAGAGCUCACACCCAGGUUGGGGACACAAGACGACGUACACUAAUGAGGCAGAAAAGUGUGUAUAAAGCACUAUCCUAGGAACUGCGAGGAAGGAUAGACGUGAAAUCUGAGUCCAGUCCCCAUCAAGCCUAUCAGCAAUUAGAGAAUCAAGAUAUUUGUGCAUAAGGUAUAAGUAAUGACACAGAGCAUUGCUAGGCUAGCAAAUCUGCCUUAGAAGGGGAGCUCCAGGAGAGCAGAGGGAGGAUGACUGUGGGAUGGGGUCACCAGCGAAAAGUCCUGGGAGGAGCACAGGACUUUCCAAGGGGACUGAUCAGAGAGGCCCUGAGGGGGCUUCCCGCACUGAGAGUCGGGGGCAGGGUGAGCAAAGCCACAGGAAGGCAAGUCCAGUGGCCAGACUGGGAGCUGACCUCUCAGGCUGGAGUGGCCAUUUCCUGUAGGGAAGAGGAGGGGGUGAGGCUGGCGCCCGGGGUCGGGAGCUGGCUGCGGACAUCUUGAAUGCUGAGCGAGCAAGCUUAUCUUUCCCUGCAAGGCGGUGGGAGCCCAUGAGCCAGGGGUGAAAUCAGAGAAUGCCCCCCCGAUGGAAGGGGGUUUGCAGGGUGACUGGAGUGCUGGGGGGGGGCGGUGAGAGGAAGACUGUAAGUGAGGUGACCAGUUUGGGGCCAUGCGGCCGCUGGAGUAAAGGGUACCCCAUCCCUGAAAUGUUCUUAGAUGGGGGUGAGAUCCUCCCUCCCCUGAAGGUAAGGGGGAACUAGACACAGCAUCGUGUAUACAUUUCUUUCUCGUUUUUGGAAGGGGUGAGAGGGUGGAGGGGCCCGACUCCUUGGACCACCUGCUUUGACCCUGGUUCCUAGAUCCACUGUGCACUGAUGGACACUCUCCAGACCUGGGCAGCUCAGAAAAUCCAGUUCUCUCCUCCACAGGGAGUUGAUUAGUGGCCACUGAGCCAUGGACGGGGCGGGGGGGGGGGGUGGUGCGGUGGGGAGAACAGAUUUGUGCCCACUGUGGAUGGGCUUGGCAGCAGGAGACAUUCCAGCAGGCUCUGCCCAAGGCCCGUUUCCGGGUCCAUUUCCAGAGGGAUCAUCCAUGGGCAGCCAGUUGUGGUGAAUUAGUGUUUAACUUGCCCGCUCCCAGACCCCUGGCUUCUUGCUUCUUAAGGGACCCGAGUCCUUAAAAAACAAAAACCGGGGGGGUACCUACUGGUCUGUGUCAGUCCUAUAAACCCAAGAGAAAAAAGAGGCAUAGCUGCACACUGUCGGCUGGGUAGUAUUCAGUUAAUAUGGAGUCUGGGAGCAAGGAAAAGUCAAAUGCAAAAUCUGUUUACCAGCCAGUGGUGGGGCCCUCAGCUGCCUGGCACAGGAUUCCAGGUACCUACCUGUCAGGGAGCCAAGAGCCCUCACCCUCAGCUCCAGGAGGGACUGUUCUCGCUUCACUGCGGCCAGGCCCCAAGAUCAAGGGCACUCAACCCCUGUGGGGGUGAGAGGGAAGCCCUCCCCCUCCUCAGAGAAGGCAAUGGCUCCUGAGAGUGAAGCCACCAGCUGAAACUGCAAUGCAGGACUCCUGCUACCCAGGCAAAAGGCAGUCCCUCUAGGGAGCAAAACUGACCUCUAGCCUCCUGACCCCUGUGCCCCAACCAGGUGGCCAAGUUCCUCUACCGGGACUCUGAGUGGAGGGCAUUGUUGGUCCAGGGGCAGUGGACUUCUCCAAAAGGCACUGGGGGUAGUGGGCUUCCCAGGAAGGUCUCUGGGCCGUGUGCGGGGCAGGUGUGGUGGGCAGUGGGGCAGGUGCCCAAGGCUUGCAAGGUUGCAAGGUUGCAAGGCCCGUGGUGGGAGUGAAGGUAGUGGCAGACCACUGUCCAGGGGCUGCACCCCUCCGCUACUCUUACUGCCACCGGCCUAACCACAGAACAAUGGAGCCACCACGUGAUCGGCUCUGUGCCAGAUGCCGGGGACCACAAGAUGCGUGAGCCAUGCCCUUGUCUUGAGAACGGCCCAGUCCGAUUGUGGAGACAACGGUGGACAGGACUGAUGAAGAUACACUGAGAUAUGAUAAGUAAACAAACCCAUAAAAAGCUGUGGGUAAAGCAAGUCCAAGUUCUUUCUGGGGAAGGUGAGGAAAGCUUCACAGAGGGACACUGGGGCUGAGCUUUGAGGCAGGGCUGAUUCUGUAAAAAUUUUGGUCAGAAAAAGGGAGG